UACGUAGGGUGCAAGCGUUGUCCGGAAUUACUGGGCGUAAAGAGCUCGUAGGCGGUUUGUCGCGUCGUCUGUGAAAUCCCGCAGCUCAACUGCGGGCUUGCAGGCGAUACGGGCAGACUUGAGUACUGCAGGGGAGACUGGAAUUCCUGGUGUAGCGGUGAAAUGCGCAGAUAUCAGGAGGAACACCGGUGGCGAAGGCGGGUCUCUGGGCCGAUACUGACGCUGAGGAGCGAAAGCGUGGGGAGCGAACAGG
rnacentral:rRNA from 1 species